AUCUGUCCAUGGGUGGGGGAUAACUCUGGGAAACUGGAGCUAAUACCGCAUGAUACCUGAGGGUCAAAGGCGCAAGUCGCCUGUGGAGGAGCCUGCGUUCGAUUAGCUUGUUGGUGGGGUAAUGGCCUACAAGGCGAUGAUCGAUAGCUGGUCUGAGAGGAUGAUCAGCCACACUGGGACUGAGACACGGCCCAGACUCCUACGGGAGGCAGCAGUGGGGAAUAUUGGACAAUGGGGGCAACCCUGAUCCAGCAAUGCCGCGUGUGUGAAGAAGGUUUUCGGAUUGAAAAGCACUUUCGGCGGGGACGAUGAUGACGGUACCCGCAGAAAAAGCCCCGGCUAACUUCGUGCCAGCAGCCGCGGUAAUACGAAGGGGGCUAGCGUUGCUCGGAAUGACUGGGCGUAAAGGGCGUGUAGGCGGUUUGUACAGUCAGAUGUGAAAUCCCCGGGCUUAACCUGGAAGCUGCAUUUGAUACGUGCAGACUAGAGUGUGAGAGA
rnacentral:rRNA from 1 species